AUUGAACGCUGGCGGCAGGCCUAACACAUGCAAGUCGAACGAGUGGCGGACGGGUGAGUAAUGUCUGGGAAACUGCCUGAUGGAGGGGGAUAACUACUGGAAACGGUAGCUAAUACCGCAUACCAUGAGAUGUGCCCAGAUGGGCUUAGCUAGUUGGUGGGGUAACGGCGCACCAAGGCGACGAACCCUAGCUGGUCUGAGAGGAGGACCAGCCACAUGGGAACUGAGCCACGGUCCAGGCUCCUGCGGGAGGCAGCAGUGGGGAAUAUUGCACAAUGGGCGCAAGCCUGAUGCAGCCAUGCCGCGUGUAUGAAGAAGGCCUUCGGGUUGUAAAGUACUUUCAGCGGGGGUGCGUUACCCGCAGAAGAAGCACCGGCUAACUCCGUGCCAGCCGCCGCGGUAAUUC
rnacentral:rRNA from 1 species